rnacentral:rRNA from 1 species
UACGUAGGGUGCGGGCGUUGUCCGGAAUUAUUGGGCGUAAAGGGCUCGUAGGCGGUUUGUCGCGUCGGGAGUGAAAACACUGGGCUUAACCGAGUGCUUGCUUUCGAUACGGGCAGACUUGAGGCAUUGAGGGGAGAACGGAAUUCCUGGUGUAGCGGUGAAAUGCGCAGAUAUCAGGAGGAACACCGGUGGCGAAGGCGGUUCUCUGGCAAUGUUCUGACGCUGAGGAGCGAAAGUGUGGGGAGCGAACAGG